CUUUGAAGCAUGUCGCGGUGCGUUUUGUUUGGUUGUGGGAUGAAAGUCUAGAAAAGUGAAAUCUUUUUAAGUUUCCACAGUUUCUCUCAGGAACCUAGCCGAUGGGCGAUUUGGUUAGAAUCCUGUGGAAUGAUGCAAGACCGCGGUCCGAAGAUUAUGACUCAAAUUAUUUUACCCGCGAAGCGUUCAUCACCAAUGCCAAAUUGAAGUAGGAACUGCUUCAUACUGGUCGGAAUAAUUUAGAGAAAGAUACGAUAACAACAAUUCGUAAUCCAUCUGAAGGACAUGACAUGGAGACUAAAGUAAUCACGAACACUUCUAUGUUGAAUCUGAAUGAAUUCUCAAGUCCGGUAGCGUACCUUUUGAUAACCUGAAAGAAAGAAAUUUUAG